GGUCGUGCCCCCGCUGGUGCUGAGCCACCACGGGCUGUGGUGAUCAGCACGGCCUUGACCUAGGCCGUGCUCAAUGUAUGCACUACGAGCUCUUAUCCGAUCUUGAUGAAUUCCCGUCCAUUUUCACAUGUACUGAUCUAUAAUUGCUCAAAUACUGAUGAUGGUCCUAUAAAUUCUCCUGAAAUGCAAAAGAAUACAAAACACGGUUGAUCUUGGAAUAAAAGCACAAUAAUUGCUAAGAAAAUAUGCAAUAAUAUGCAAGCAAAUAUGUGUAAAACUAUGCAUAUUAAUCCUUCAUCUUAAGGGGCAACUGAGUUGAAGCAUUACACUUGCUAGUUAUAUUUUUUCUUUGUUCGCAUAUCGCCUUUUGUUGGUGUUCAUCUCUUCAAAAUUUUUUUACAUAAGCUGGCUUAUUCCUGAUAACAUCCAACAAAGAUAAAUUAGUAUUAACUUUAGAGAGCAUCUCAACACUUUCAAAAAGUUUUUUAUCCUUUUUGCUCUCUUUGGGUUGGUUUAGAAAAGGAAUAGGGGGUCUAUAAGGCUGAGCUGCCUUAUGAAAUUCAGGUCCACAAAAUGCUUCCUUUUAUUUCUUCUCAAGCCUAAGAUUAGGCUCUAUUUUUUAUUUCUUUUGCAUGCUCUCCUUAUUGAUUUGCACUAAUCCAUCAUUUUUAUGUGUACUUGCAUAAGAAGAAGAAUUUCUUUCAGUUUCUAUAGCAAUAUUAUCGACAACUUCACCUCUUCUAAUAGUAGUAAUGGAAUUGGCUUGUUCAGGUUGACUUGAUAGUUCCUCUUUAUUGAACUCUUCAACAAUUUGUCUCAUUUGAGCUUCUAAACGUUUCAAUGAAGCCUCAAUGAAAUCUGUCUUUUUCUCAUUCCUCUCCAUCCUAUCAUGAGAAGCCAUCAUAAAUGAUUGAAGUGUUUCUUCCAAACUUGGCUUCCUUUGUUCAUUAGAUCCAAGAGUCUGUUCUUGAUCUUGAAAGAAAAGAUUGGAGUCCCUUUAGAAUGGAGAAUAUUGGUCUUGGUAAUAAGGUUGAUUUUGAUUUCUCAAUAAUUGUGAUAGGUUUUUGUCAUUGUAUUUCCAGGAAAUAUUUGGAUGGUUUCUCCAACCUGUAUUAUAUAUGUUGGAAUAAGGGUCAUUCAUAGGAUGCAUGGGUUGGUAAGAAUCCAUCAAAUUUGUUUGGUCAUACUUAUUUCCUCUGUAAUUAUCAAAAGAUGAACAAACAUUAGCACCAUGACCAUAAAUACCACAAAUACCACAUACCUCAUUAUUUGGUGAGUUUUUUAUUGAAGUAAACAUCUUAACUUGCUUAAUCAAUUCAGCCAAUUGCAUGCCUAUCUCACUAUUAGCUACCACUUUAUUUACUUCUACUCUCUUUGUCCUUACACUCUUUUGUUGAGAAUUGACUCCUAACAUCUCAAAGAUGUCAUAAACCUCAUCAGGUGUCCUUUCUAACAUAGCACCCCCAGCUACAUUAUCAACCAUACAUUGAUAUUGGUGUGUCAAACUAUCAUAAAAUGAUUGGUUAGUUAUUGGGAGUGGGAAUCCAUAAUGUAGGCAUUACAAUAAAAGUGAUUUGAAGCAAUCCCAUGCUUCAUGAAAAGAUUCAGCAUUCUCUUGAUAAAAAUUAGAAAUUUCACCUCUUAAUUCUUUGGUCUUUUACUGUGAGUAAAAUCUACUCAUAAACUUUUAAUACACUACAUCCCAAUUUCUCAAAGAAUUAGGAGGCAAGGUCAUUAACCAAGCCUUUGCUCUAUCUUUCAAUAAAUAAGGGAAACACCUCAUUCUUAGUUGAUCCUCAUCUAAUCCAGAUAAUAGGAAAGUAUGAACUAUAGCAUAAAAUUCUCUAAUGAAUGUUAAUGCUUCCUCACUAGGCAUGCCAUAAAAUGAAGGAAGCAUGUUAAAAUGAAGGAAGCAUGUUAAAAUGAAUGCUCUUAAGUUCAUAAUUUCUAGAUGCAUCACCUAGAACUAUGCAUGAAGUAGUGUUACCAAUUGUAGGCCAUGCAUAACCUUUCAUAGUCAUUCGUCUUUCAGCUCCUACUUCUCUUAGUAGGUUUGUCAUGAUAUCAACUUCUUCUUUUGAUUCUUUUUCUAGUUGUUUCCUGCUUCGCAUACAAAACAAAAGAAAAUCUUAGAUUAAAUGAAUAAAAUUUACAGACAAAAUAAAAACACGUAAACAAAACAAAUCACAAAACACAAAAAAAAAACAAACAAAACAAAAACACAUAAACAAAACAAAUCACAAAACAUGAAACAAACUAACAAACACAAGAUACUUUUGAUAAUCAAUCAAUAUAAUAAAUUUGGUCACAGUUCCCCGGCAAUGGCGCCAAAACUUGAUAUAUCUUUUUUAGUACUCGCAAGUGCACGAACCAUUCCUAUAGUAAGGGUAAGUUCACCACAAGUUCGAUCUCUCAAGUAACUAUAAGGCCACUUAUUAUAA
rnacentral:lncRNA from 1 species